rnacentral:siRNA from 1 species
CUGCCAUUUUUGAUGUUUUGG